GAUGAAGAACGCAGCGAAAUGCGAUAAGUAAUGUGAAUUGCAGAAUUCAGUGAAUCAUCGAAUCUUUGAACGCACAUUGCGCCCGCCAGUAUUCUGGCGGGCAUGCCUGUCUGAGCGUCAUUUCAACCCUCAUGCCCCUAGGGCGUGGUGUUGGGGAUCGGCCAAAGCCCGCGAGGGACGGCCGGCCCCUAAAUCUAGUGGCGGACCCGUCGUGGCCUCCUCUGCGAAGUAGUGAUAUUCCGCAUCGGAGAGCGAUGCCCCUGCCGUUAAACCCCCAACUUUCCAAGGUUGACCUCAGAUCAGGUAGGAAUACCCGCUGAACUUAAGCAUAUCAAUAAGCGGAGGA
rnacentral:misc_RNA from 1 species